AAAAACUUCCAUAAGUAAUCCACUCUUCUCGAAAAUCCUGUUGCAAAAUCCCCACAACUAUUGCAGCUACAAUCUGUGUUGUUUUCACUAAUUAUCACUCCUUUUGGCUCCAGACCUUUCAAAAUUCUCAAGAACUCGGUUCUUUCAUCUGGGGGAUUGUGAUUUAGAUGAUGGAGUCUAAAUUGAGCACAAACUAUUAAGGUUUCUUCAGGGUUGAUGUUAAUGACUUGUCCAUUGAGAUUUUGUAAUGGGUGGUUUUCGAGUCUAUUGAUUUGCAAGUUGAUGUUCAUGGACUUGGCGAAACUAAGUAGUCUUGUGGAAAAAUUGUCUCCUGGAGGGCCUACUGAAAAUGGGGUCUCAGUGUUUUGAUCAUGUUCGACAGUGGCAGUGAUGACUGUGAUGCGUACCAGAGGAGGAGGUCCUCCUGGUCGGCGAGUUAAGGCCUCAAGAAGUGUAGGCCAUUGGACACCAUGGGAGACCCCAAUAUCAAGAAUAUGAAGAUUGCGCUUGUGAUCUAGCUCUUGAGCAAGAAUUUGAAGGAUUGAAGAAUUUGCAAUGUUAUUAGGAAAUGCAAACCAAGGACUAACCUCAUAGAAUUUAAGUAAAGUUCGUUGAAAGAACUUUGGCUCUGUGGAAGCAAAAGAUAUAGGCCCUAUAGAGGCAGAACUUGUUGAAGGUGAUAGGUAAUGUGUCAAGGCUCGCAGACCAUAAAACGCUAGCCGGUGGUUAGC
rnacentral:misc_RNA from 1 species